rnacentral:rRNA from 1 species
GAACGCUGGCGGCGUGCUUAACACAUGCAAGUCGAACGCGAAAGGGACUUCGGUCCUGAGUAAAGUGGCGCACGGGUGAGUAACGCGUGGAUAAUCUGCCCUUAUGAUUGGAUAACAGUUGGAAACGGCUGCUAAUACCGGAUACGCUCAAAAUGAACUUUUUGAGGAAAGAUGGCCUCUGCUUGCAUGCUAUCGCAUAAGGAUGAGUCCGCGUCCCAUUAGCUUGUUGGCGGGGUAACGGCCCACCAAGGCAACGAUGGGUAGCCGAUUUGAGAGGAUGAUCGGCCACACUGGAACUGAAACACGGUCCAGACUCCUACGGGAGGCAGCAGUGGGGAAUAUUGCGCAAUGGGCGAAAGCCUGACGCAGCGACGCCGCGUGAGGGAUGAAGGUUUUCGGAUCGUAAACCUCUGUCAGAAGGGAAGAAACUACGUUGUGCUAAUCAGCAGCGUACUGACGGUACCUUCAAAGGAAGCACCGGCUAACUCCGUG